CACGUAGGGCGCAAGCGUUGUCCGGAAUUAUUGGGCGUAAAGAGCUCGUAGGCGGUCUGUUACGUCUGCUGUGAAAACCCGGGGCUUAACCCUGGGCUUGCAGUGGAUACGGGCAGACUAGAGGCAGGUAGGGGAGAAUGGAAUUCCCGGUGUAGCGGUGAAAUGCGCAGAUAUCGGGAAGAACACCCGUGGCGAAGGCGGCUCUCUGGGACGGUACUGACGCUGAGACGCGAAAGCGUGGGGAGCGAACAGG
rnacentral:rRNA from 1 species